rnacentral:rRNA from 1 species
GAACGGGUGAGUAACACGUGGGUGAUCUGCCCUGCACUUCGGGAUAAGCCUGGGAAACUGGGUCUAAUACCGAAUAGGACCACGCGCUUCAUGGUGUGUGGUGGAAAGCUUUUGCGGUGUGGGAUGGGCCCGCGGCCUAUCAGCUUGUUGGUGGGGUAAUGGCCUACCAAGGCGACGACGGGUAGCCGGCCUGAGAGGGUGACCGGCCACACUGGGACUGAGAUACGGCCCAGACUCCUACGGGAGGCAGCAGUGGGGAAUAUUGCACAAUGGGCGCAAGCCUGAUGCAGCGACGCCGCGUGAGGGAUGACGGCCUUCGGGUUGUAAACCUCUUUCAAUAGGGACGAAGCGCAAGUGACGGUACCUAUAGAAGAAGCACCGGCCAACUACGUGCCAGCAGCCGCGGUAAUACGUAGGGUGCGAGCGUUGUCCGGAAUUACUGGGCGUAAAGAGCUCGUAGGUGGUUUGUCGCGUUGUUCGUGAAAACUCACAGCUUAACUGUGGGCGUGCGGGCGAUACGGGCAGACUAGAGUACUGCAGGGGAGACUGGAAUUCCUGGUGUAGCGGUGGAAUGCGCAGAUAUCAGGAGGAACACCGGUGGCGAAGGCGGGUCUCUGGGCAGUAACUGACGCUGAGGAGCGAAAGCGUGGGGAGCGAACAGGAUUAGAUACCCUGGUAGUCCACGCCGUANACGGUGGGUACUAGGUGUGGGUUCCUUCCUUGGGAUCCGUGCCGUAGCUAACGCAUUAAGUACCCCGCCUGGGGAGUACGGCCGCAAGGCUAAAACUCAAAGGAAUUGACGGGGGCCCGCANNNGCGGCGGAGCAUGUGGAUUAAU